rnacentral:rRNA from 1 species
AUUGAACGCUGGCGGCAGGCCUAAUAAAGGCAAGCUGAACGAGUGGCGGACGGGUGAGUAAUGUCUGGGAAACUGCCUGAUGGAGGGGGAUAAGUACUGGAAACGGUAGCUAAUACCGCAUACCAUCGGAUGUGCCCAGAUGGGAUUAGCUAGUAGGUGGGGUAAAGGCUCACCUAGGCGACGAUCCCUAGCUGGUCUGAGAGGAUGACCAGCCACCCUAGAACUUAGACACAGUCCAGACUCCUACGGGAGGCAGCAGUGGGGAAUAUUGCACAAUGGGCGCAAUCCUGAUGCAGCCAUGCCGCGUGUAUGAAGAGGGCCUUCGGGUUGUAAAGUACUUUCAGCGGGGAGGCGUUACCCGCAGAAGAAGCACCGGCUAACUCCGUGCCCGCAGCCGCGGUAAUAC